AUUGAACGCUGGCGGCAUGCUUUACACAUGCAAGUCGAACGGUAACAGGCCGCAAGGUGCUGACGAGUGGCGAACGGGUGAGUAAUGCAUCGGAACGUGCCCAGUCGUGGUGGAUAACGCAGCGAAAGCUGCGCUAAUACCUCAUACGAUCUAUGGAUGAAAGCGGGGGACCGCAAGGCCUCGCGCGAUUGGAGCGGCCGAUGUCAGAUUAGGUAGUUGGUGGGGUAAAGGCUCAACAAGCCGACGAUCUGUAGCUGGUCUAACAGGACGACCAGCCAAACUGGGACGGCGCAACGGCCCAGACGCCUACGGGAUGCAGCAGUGGGGAAGUUUGGACAAUGGGGGCGACCCUGAUCCAGCAAUGCCGCGUGCAAGAAGAAGACCUUCGAGUUGUAAACUGCUUUUGUACGGAACGAAACGGCUCUGGUUAAUACCCGGGGCUAAUGACGGUACCGUAAGAAUAAGCAACGGCUAACUACGUGCCAGCCGCCGCAGUAAAAC
rnacentral:rRNA from 1 species